UUUCCCAGGCUGGUCUCAAACUCCUGGCCUCCCAAAGUGCUGAGUAUGCAGAAGUGAGUCACUGCACUCGGCCUAUACCCAUUUUUAUUUUUGUUUAUAUUUACUAUUUAUUUACUUAUUAUUUGAGACAGAGUCUUGCUCUUUCAUCCAGGCUGGAGUGCAGUGGCACAAUCUCAGCUCACUGCAAUGUCCGUCUCCCAGGCUCAAGCAAUUCUUGUGCCUCAGUCUCCCAAGUAGUUGGGAUUACAGGCGUGUACCACCACGCCUGGCUAAUUUUUGUGUUUUUAUGUUUUUAGUAGAGACGGGUUUCACCUUGUUGGCUAGGCUGGUCUCGAACUCCUGGCCUCAAGUGAUCCGCCUGCCGCAGCCUUGUAAAGUGCUGGGAUUACAAACGUGAGCCACCGCGCCCAGCCUGUAUAUCCAUAUUACUGUUUUUCAGUUGUGCCUUUUCUCCUUUUCUUGAGCCAUCUUGCAGAAGUAUUUUCAAAUAACCUGUUUUUCAUGUGUUUUGAUCCUCCGCAAUGUUUGUUUUUUCAUUUAUUAGUGUUUCAUUUCAUUUUUAACUUUAUUUUAUGCUUCUUUUAUACUUCUUAUUUUGUGUUUUUGUGUGUGUAUGUGUGUGUGUUUUUAGUAGAGAUGGGGUUUCACUAUGUUGGCCAGGCUGGUCUUGAACUCCUGACCUCAAGUGAUCUGCCCCCCUCAGCCUCCCAAAGUUGUGAGAUUAAAGGCGUGAGCCACCAUGCCUGGCCAAGCACAGAUUUUUUUUAAAUGGAUCUCUUUAACAGUUCAUACAUCAAAGCAAUAAACACACAAACAUCCAGAGGAAAAAAAUGAGGUUAUAAAGUAGCCUAGCUCAGCACCCUGGUGAGUUUGUUGCAAGUCUACCAACAUGGGCCUCAUCUAGAAGGAAUGCCCAGAGUCUGGGCUUGGUGCUGAUUAGCCACACUCUCAUAUACUUUAAAUCAUCUCUAGACUACGUAUAAUACCUAAUACAAUGUAAAUGCUAUGUAAGUAGUAGUUGUACUGUAUUAUUUAGGGAAUAAUCACAAGGGCAGUUGCAGCCAUCCAUUUUUUUUCCCAGAUACUUUUGAUCUGCAGUUAAUUUAAUCCACAGAUGUGGAACCCACACAUG
rnacentral:lncRNA from 10 species